rnacentral:rRNA from 1 species
CCUACGGGUGGCAGCAGUGAGGAAUAUUGGUCAAUGGCCGAGAGGCUGAACCAGCCAAGUCGCGUGAGGGAUGACGGCCCUACGGGUUGUAAACCUCUUUUGUCGGGGAGCAAAGAGAGUCACGUGUGGCUCAUUGAGAGUACCCGAAGAAAAAGCAUCGGCUAACUCCGUGCCAGCAGCCGCGGUAAUACGGAGGAUGCGAGCGUUAUCCGGAGUUAUUGGGUUUAAAGGGUGCGCAGGCGGAGGUGCAAGUCAGUGGUCACAUUGCGGGGCUCAACCCCGUACUGCCGUUGAAACUGCAGCCCUUGAGUGCGCGAGAAGUAGGCGGAAUGCGUGGUGUAGCGGUGAAAUGCAUAGAUAUCACGCAGAACUCCGAUUGCGAAGGCAGCAUACCGGCGCGCAACUGACGCUCAUGCACGAAAGCGUGGGUAUCGAACAGGAUUAGAUACCCUUGUAGUC